rnacentral:rRNA from 1 species
UUAAGCGACUAAGCGUACACGGUGGAUGCCCUGGCAGUCAGAGGCGAUGAAGGGCGUGCUAAUCUGCGAUAAGCGCCGGUAAGGUGAUAUGAACCGUUAUAACCGGCGAUACCCGAAUGGGGAAACCCAGUGUGAUUCGUCACACUAUCAUUAACUGAAUCCAUAGGUUAAUGAGGCGAACCGGGGGAACUGAAACAUCUAAGUACCCCGAGGAAAAGAAAUCAACCGAGAUUCCCCCAGUAGCGGCGAGCGAACGGGGAGGAGCCCAGAGCCUGAAUCAGCAUGUGUGUUAGUGGAAGCGUCUGGAAAGGCGCGCGAUACAGGGUGACAGCCCCGUACACAAAAGCGCAUGUGCUGUGAGCUCGAUGAGUAGGGCGGGACACGUGGUAUCCUGUCUGAAUAUGGGGGGACCAUCCUCCAAGGCUAAAUACUCCUGACUGACCGAUAGUGAACCAGUACCGUGAGGGAAAGGCGAAAAGAACCCCGGCGAGGGGAGUGAAAAAGAACCUGAAACCGUGUACGUACAAGCAGUGGGAGCACAGGUUUACCUGUGUGACUGCGUACCUUUUGUAUAAUGGGUCAGCGACUUAUAUUCUGUAGCAAGGUUAACCGAAUAGGGGAGCCGGAGGGAAACCGAGUCUUAAUUGGGCGUUAAGUUGCAGGGUAUAGACCCGAAACCCGGUGAUCUAGCCAUGGGCAGGUUGAAGGUUGGGUAACACUAACUGGAGGACCGAACCGACUAAUGUUGAAAAAUUAGCGGAUGACCUGUGGCUGGGGGUGAAAGGCCAAUCAAACCGGGAGAUAGCUGGUUCUCCCCGAAAGCUAUUUAGGUAGCGCCUCGUGAAUUCAUCUCCGGGGGUAGAGCACUGUUUCGGCUAGGGGGCCAUCCCGGCUUACCAACCCGAUGCAAACUGCGAAUACCGGAGAAUGUUAUCACGGGAGACACACGGCGGGUGCUAACGUCCGUCGUGAAGAGGGAAACAACCCAGACCGCCAGCUAAGGUCCCAAAGUCAUGGUUAAGUGGGAAACGAUGUGGGAAGGCCCAGACAGCCAGGAUGUUGGCUUAGAAGCAGCCAUCAUUUAAAGAAAGCGUAAUAGCUCACUGGUCGAGUCGGCCUGCGCGGAAGAUGUAACGGGGCUAAACCAUGCACCGAAGCUGCGGCAGCGACACUGUGUGUUGUUGGGUAGGGGAGCGUUCUGUAAGCCUGUGAAGGUGGCCUGUGAGGGUUGCUGGAGGUAUCAGAAGUGCGAAUGCUGACAUAAGUAACGAUAAAGCGGGUGAAAAGCCCGCUCGCCGGAAGACCAAGGGUUCCUGUCCAACGUUAAUCGGGGCAGGGUGAGUCGACCCCUAAGGCGAGGCCGAAAGGCGUAGUCGAUGGGAAACAGGUUAAUAUUCCUGUACUUGGUGUUACUGCGAAGGGGGGACGGAGAAGGCUAUGUUGGCCGGGCGACGGUUGUCCCGGUUUAAGCGUGUAGGUGUGUGUUCCAGGUAAAUCCGGUUCACUUUAACACUGAGGCGUGAUGACGAGGCACUACGGUGCUGAAGCAACAAAUGCCCUGCUUCCAGGAAAAGCCUCUAAGCAUCAGGUAACAUCAAAUCGUACCCCAAACCGACACAGGUGGUCAGGUAGAGAAUACCAAGGCGCUUGAGAGAACUCGGGUGAAGGAACUAGGCAAAAUGGUGCCGUAACUUCGGGAGAAGGCACGCUGACACGUAGGUGAAGUGAUUUACUCAUGGAGCUGAAGUCAGUCGAAGAUACCAGCUGGCUGCAACUGUUUAUUAAAAACACAGCACUGUGCAAACACGAAAGUGGACGUAUACGGUGUGACGCCUGCCCGGUGCCGGAAGGUUAAUUGAUGGGGUCAGCGCAAGCGAAGCUCCUGAUCGAAGCCCCGGUAAACGGCGGCCGUAACUAUAACGGUCCUAAGGUAGCGAAAUUCCUUGUCGGGUAAGUUCCGACCUGCACGAAUGGCGUAAUGAUGGCCAGGCUGUCUCCACCCGAGACUCAGUGAAAUUGAACUCGCUGUGAAGAUGCAGUGUACCCGCGGCAAGACGGAAAGACCCCGUGAACCUUUACUAUAGCUUGACACUGAACAUUGAGCCUUGAUGUGUAGGAUAGGUGGGAGGCUUUGAAGCGUGGACGCCAGUCUGCGUGGAGCCGACCUUGAAAUACCACCCUUUAAUGUUUGAUGUUCUAACGUGGACCCGUAAUCCGGGUUGCGGACAGUGUCUGGUGGGUAGUUUGACUGGGGCGGUCUCCUCCUAAAGAGUAACGGAGGAGCACGAAGGUUGGCUAAUCCUGGUCGGACAUCAGGAGGUUAGUGCAAUGGCAUAAGCCAGCUUGACUGCGAGCGUGACGGCGCGAGCAGGUGCGAAAGCAGGUCAUAGUGAUCCGGUGGUUCUGAAUGGAAGGGCCAUCGCUCAACGGAUAAAAGGUACUCCGGGGAUAACAGGCUGAUACCGCCCAAGAGUUCAUAUCGACGGCGGUGUUUGGCACCUCGAUGUCGGCUCAUCACAUCCUGGGGCUGAAGUAGGUCCCAAGGGUAUGGCUGUUCGCCAUUUAAAGUGGUACGCGAGCUGGGUUUAGAACGUCGUGAGACAGUUCGGUCCCUAUCUGCCGUGGGCGCUGGAGAACUGAGGGGGGCUGCUCCUAGUACGAGAGGACCGGAGUGGACGCAUCACUGGUGUUCGGGUUGUCAUGCCAAUGGCACUGCCCGGUAGCUAAAUGCGGAAGAGAUAAGUGCUGAAAGCAUCUAAGCACGAAACUUGCCCCGAGAUGAGUUCUCCCUGAGACUUAGAGUCUCCUGAAGGAACGUUGAAGACGACGACGUUGAUAGGCCGGGUGUGUAAGCGCAGCGAUGCGUUGAGCUAACCGGUACUAAUGAACCGUGAGGCUUAACCUU